UGCCCUAGUAACGGCGAGUGAAGCGGCAACAGCUCAAAUUUGAAAUCUGGCCCUCGCGGUCCGAGUUGUAAUUUGUAGAGGAUGCUUUGGGCGCGGCGCCUUCCGAGUUCCCUGGAACGGGACGCCAGAGAGGGUGAGGGCCCCGUACGGUUGGACGCCUAGCCUAUGUAUAGCUCCUUCGACGAGUCGAGUAGUUUGGGAAUGCUGCUCUAAAUGGGAGGUAAAUUUCUUCUAAAGCUAAAUACCGGCCAGAGACCGAUAGCGCACAAGUAGAGUGAUCGAAAGAUGAAAAGCACUUUGAAAAGAGGGUUAAAUAGCACGUGAAAUUGUUGAAAGGGAAGCGUUUGCGACCAGACCUUCUCCGGGGGGAUCAUCCGGUGUUCUCACCGGUGCACUCCCCUCGGUCUAGGCCAGCAUCGGUUUCCUUAGGGGGAUAAAGGCCUGGGGAACGUAGCUCCUUCGGGAGUGUUAUAGCCCCUUGCGUAAUACCCCUCGGGGGACCGAGGACCGCGCUUCGGCAAGGAUGCUGGCGUAAUGGUCGUCAACGACCCGUCUUGAAACACGGACCAAGGAGUCGAACAUUUGUGCGAGUGUUUGGGUGUUAAACCCUCACGCGUAAUGAAAGUGAACGGAGGUGAGAGCCCUCGCGGGUGCAUCAUCGACCGAUCCUGAUGUCUUCGGAUGGAUUUGAGUAAGAGCAUAACUGUUCGGACCCGAAAGAUAGUGAACUAUGCGUGGAUAGGGUGAAGCCAGAGGAAACUCUGGUGGAGGCUCGCAGCGGUUCUGACGUGCAAAUCGAUCGUCAAAUCUGCGCAUGGGGGCGAAAGACUAAUCGAACUAUCUAGUAGCUGGUUACCGCCGAAGUUUCCCUCAGGAUAGCAGUGUUGUCUUCAGUUUUAUGAGGUAAAGCGAAUGAUUAGGGACUCGGGGGCGCUAUAUUGCCUUCAUCCAUUCUCAAACUUUAAAUAUGUAAGAAGCCCUUGUUACUUAGUUGAACGUGGGCAUUCGAAUGUACCAACACUAGUGGGCCAUUUUUGGUAAGCAGAACUGGCGAUGCGGGAUGAACCGAACGCGGGGUUAAGGUGCCAGAGUGGACGCUCAUCAGACACCACAAAAGGUGUUAGUACAUCCUGACAGCAGGACUGUGGCCAUGGAAGUCGGAAUCAGCUAAGGACUGUGUAACAACUCACCUGCCGAAUGUACUAGCCCUGAAAAUGGAUGGCGCUCAAGCGUCUCACCCAUACCUCGCCCUUAGGGUAGAAUCGAUGCCCUAAGGAGUAGGCGGCCGUGGAGGUCAGUGACGAAGCC
rnacentral:rRNA from 1 species